GACGAACCGUACGAACGUUAUUCGGAAUCACUGGGCUUAAAGGGUGCGUAGGCGGCGCUGAAAGUUGGGUGUGAAAUCCCUCGGCUCAACCGAGGAACUGCCCUCCAAACUGCUUGGCUUGAGUCCGGGAGAGGUGAGUGGAAUUCCCAGUGUAGCGGUGAAAUGCGUAGAUAUUGGGAGGAACACCAGUGGCGAAGGCGGCUCACUGGACCGGAACUGACGCUGAGGCGCGAAAGCGUGGGGAGCAAACGGG
rnacentral:rRNA from 1 species